GGGGAUGUAGCUCAGUUGGGAGAGCGCCGCCUUUGCACGGCGGAGGUCAGGAGUUCGAGUCUCCUCAUCUCCA
rnacentral:tRNA from 1 species